AUGAACGCUGGCGGCGUGCCUAAUCCCUGCCAGUCGAGCGAACAGACGAGGAGCUUGCUCCUCUGACGUUAGCGGCGGACGGGUGAGUAACACGUGGAUAACCUACCUAUAAGACUGGGAUAACUUCGGGAAACCGGAGCUAAUACCGGAUAAUAUAUUGAACCGCAUGGUUCAAUAGUGAAAGACGGUUUUGCUGUCACUUAUAGAUGGAUCCGCGCCGCAUUAGCUAGUUGGUAAGGUAACGGCUUACCAAGGCGACGAUGCGUAGCCGACCUGAGAGGGUGAUCGGCCACACUGGAACUGAGACACGGUCCAGACUCCUACGGGAGGCAGCAGUAGGGAAUCUUCCGCAAAGGGCGAAAGCCUGACGGAGCAACGCCGCGUGAGUGAUGAAGGUCUUCGGAUCGUAAAACUCUGUUAUUAGGGAAGAACAAAUGUGUAAGUAACUAUGCACGUCUUGACGGUACCUAAUCAGAAAGCCACGGCUAACUACGUG
rnacentral:rRNA from 1 species